rnacentral:rRNA from 1 species
AACGAACGCUGGCGGCGUGGAUUAGGCAUGCAAGUCGAACGCGAAAUGCGGAGGGGUAACUCUCUGCAAAGUAGAGUGGCGAACGGGUGAGUAACGCGUGAGAAACCUGCCUUCAUCAGGGGGAUAACACUCCUAACGGAGUGCUAAUACCGCAUGAGACCACGGGAUCGCAUGGUCCUGAGGUCAAAGGUGGCCUCUAUUUAUAAGCUACCGGAUGAAGAUGGUCCGCGUCCCAUUAGCUAGUUGGCGGGUAAUGGCCCACCAAGGCGACGAUGGGUANCUGGUCUGAGAGGAUGGUCAGCCACACUGGGACUGAGAUACGGCCCAGACUCCUGCGGGAGCAGCAGUCGAGAGGCUUCGGCAAGUCGGGGGAAACCCUGACCGAGCGACGCCGCGGUGGGGGAUGAAGG